rnacentral:lncRNA from 1 species
UUCACAUGCAAACCCCCUAAAAUGGUGCCAUCAACUUUGGAAUGCAGCUUUGGCUCAGGUUACUAAGCAACCAAACAAACUAACUACAUAAACCAUCCUACAUUGAAAAUGCAUGCAUGAUUGCUAGAUAACCCAACAAAGACACAGCUUGGACAUCACAUGUUCAACCUUCUUCUUUCCAAGAAUUUGCACACUUGGGGACUUCUGGAGGCAGUGGAAGUGGGCAGCCAAACAGUGGUUAGAUUGUCCAUCUGGAAGGGAUAGGCUUGCCAGGUCCAGCCAACCAGGUGUGUGAUAUGAGGUCAAAGGGGUGUGCUACCCAGUCCCAUUCUGAAUGGGAAGGUCUCCCUGAUAAGAACAAAACAUUUCUUCCAAGGCAUGCUUUGAACUAGAACAGUGGUUUUCAAUCUGCGGUCCCCAGGUUAAGAACCACUGCGCUAGAGCUACUUUGCUUCCUUCCCUUAUUUAAUGCUGGGGUUUCAAGCAUUUAUGUUUGCAUAUGUGAUAGUGGUGAAUUAAAGGUAUUUUAUUUUCACAAAUGUAAGGUGACUUUGACACAGGCCAGAUCCAGAUUUGGAGGGUGCCCAUCAUCCCUGGUUUGGAGGGGGAGUUCAGUUGAGCGACAUGCUGAGACAUUCCCUGCUCAGGGGUGUAGACCUGCCUCUCUGGAUAAUGUGGAAACCACCGUGACUUUUGUCAUUUUGCGUCACCUCCACCCUCUAGGCUGGUAUGUUUUGAGAGUUAUCAGAUACCAAGUCGUGGCCUGUGUAUCAUAGCAUCCUUGUUCCAUGUUUCCAAUGGCAUACUCAGCCCCAAUUCAUCACUAGGGCUGUAAGGGGGGCACUUUGCAGUUGCUGCAACUGGACAGCAGAGUGAGCAGACACAAGACAGGUCAUCUGGUUAGAGCAGUAGUUCUCAGCCUGUGGGUCCCCAGGUGUUUUGGCCUACAACUCCCAGAAAUUCCAGCCAGUUUACCAUCUGUUAGGAUUUCUGGGAGCUGAAGGCCAAAAACAUCUGGGGACUCCAGGUUAAGAACCACUGGGGUAGUGUAUUGCAUGGAAUGGGGCAAAACAUUUUUAUUAAAACUGUGGUAAUCAUUUCUGCAUUGACUAAUUCAUGGCAUGGAUUCACCAUAGCAGUGAUAUGGAAUUCACCAGUUGCCACUGAAGACCGUGUAGUUAUUUGCUUUCAAAGUCACUCAGAUUUAUUCUAGGGCAAUAGUUCUCAACUUGUGGGUCCCCAGAUGUUUUGGCCAAAUUCCAGAAAUCCUAACAGCUGGUAAACUGGGAGUUGUAAGCCAAAACACCUGGGGACCCACAGGUUGAGAACCACUGUUCUAGGAUUUUCUUGUCAGGAUUUGUUCAAGAAGAGGUUUGCCACCUUUAAGUCUGAGAUGUGACUUUGCCUCCAAGGCAAAGCAGGGGUUUGAAGCUCAGUCUCCUGCAGUCUUCACCCAACACUCAAAUCAUUACACUAUCCUGCCUCUGCUGAGUACUUUUUUUGGUGUCAUU